UACGUAGGGGGCAAGCGUUGUCCGGAUUUACUGGGCGUAAAGCGCGCGUAGGCGGAGCGGCAAGUCCGGUCUGAAAGCCCCCGGCUCAACCGGGGAGGGUGGCUGGAAACUGCUGAGCUCGAGUCAGCUAGAGGUACACGGAACUUCCAGUGGAGCGGUGAAAUGUGUUGAUAUUGGAAGGAACACCGGAGGCGAAAGCGGUGUACUGGGGCUGGUCUGACGCUGAGGCACGAAAGCCAGGGGAGCGAACGGG
rnacentral:rRNA from 1 species